rfam:Paenibacillus alvei DSM 29 PAV_6c, whole genome shotgun sequence.
AUGAUGGUAAAGGGAGAGACUGCUGAGACAUAGCAGCGCCGAAGGAGUAAGCCGUAAGACGUGAAUCUCUCAGGCAAAAGGACUUUUACCGGACG